AUGUCGACCUUCGCCAAGCCUGAGAACGCUCUCAAGAGAGCGGAGGAGUUGAUACAUGUUGGACAAAAGCAGGCAGCGCUGCAGGCACUGCAUGAUCUCAUUACAUCAAGAAGAUACAAGUCAUGGCAAAAGCCUCUUGAGAAGAUCAUGAUGAAGUAUGUAGAGCUGUGUGUAGAUCUAAGGCAAGGCAGAUUUGCCAAAGAUGGUCUUAUUCAGUACAGAAUUGUCUGCCAGCAAGUCAACGUGUCAUCUUUGGAGGAGGUCAUAAAACACUUUAUGCAGCUGUCCAAUGAGAAAGCCGAGGAAGCCAGGAAUCGGGCACAAGCACUGGAAGAUGCUCUGGAUGUCGUAGAUCUUGAAGCGGACAAGCGUCCAGAGGACUUGAUGCUCAGUUAUGUCAGGGGGGAGAAAGGGAAAGAACGAUCUGACAGGGAGUUUGUCACUCCAUGGUUUAAGUUUCUGUGGGAGACAUACAGGACGGUGCUCGAGAUACUGAGAAAUAAUUCAAAGCUUGAAGCGCUAUAUGCUAUGACUGCGCACAAAGCUUUUCAAUUUUGCAAACAGUAUAAAAGAGCCACUGAGUUCCGUAGGUUGUGUGAGAUCAUUAGAAACCAUCUUGCAAACUUGAACAAAUAUCGUGACCAGCGAGAUCGUCCUGAUCUGACUGCCCCUGAAACCUGUCAGCUCUAUCUUGAUACUAGGGUUGAACAACUGAAAAUUGCUACAGAACUUUCCCUAUGGCAGGAAGCCUUCCGAUCUGUGGAGGAUAUCCAUGGCUUGAUGAGCAUGGUUAAGAGGACUCCAAAACCAUCUGUCCUGGUUGUAUAUUAUGCCAAACUAACUGAAAUAUUCUGGAUAUCUGAGAGUCACUUGUAUCAUGCAUAUGCAUGGCUGAAGCUUUUCAACUUGCAGAAGAGCUUCAAUAAAAAAUUAACUCAGAAGGAUCUGCAACUACUAGCAUCUUCUGUUUUGCUCGCUGCACUUUCUGUUAAGCCAUAUGACCAUAAAUAUGGUGCAUCUCAUCUUGAGCUUGAAAAUGAAAAAGACCGUAGCUUGCGUAUGGCCAACCUUUUCAAUUUCAACUUCGACUCCAAGCGUGCGAAUAGAGAAAUGGUUUCUAGAGCAUCUCUUCUUUCGGAGUUGGCUGCCAAAGGUGUGAUUUCAUGUGCUUCCCAAGAAGUGAAAGAUCUAUACAACCUUAUGGAGCAUGAGUUCCUUCCUUUGGAUCUAGCAUCAAAAGUGCAGCCUCUGCUUUCCAAGAUUUCUACGAUCGGAGGAAAGCUUUCAGCCGCAUCUUCAGUUCCUGAAAUUCAGUUAUCACAGUACCAAUCUUCAUUGGAGAAGCUUACAACACUGAGGGUGCUGCAGCAGGCAUCUCAUAUUUUCAAGUCCAUGAAGAUUGACAUGCUCUCUAGAAUGAUCCCAUUCUUUGACAUCAAUGCCGUGGAGAAGAUGUCUGUUGAUGCGGUCAAGCAUAAUUUUGUUGCUAUGAAAGUUAACCAUUUGUCUGGAGCUGUUCAUUUUGGCAAAAUGGACAUAGAAUCUGAUGCACUUGGUAGUCACCUCUGUGUCUUCACUGAUUCCCUAAACAAAGCAAGGAGUCUCAUUCAUCCACCUGUGCAUAAACCAUCCAAACUCGGUGAAAACUUCAGUCUUGCUGGAGUGGUGGAGAAAGAACAUAAAAGGCUUCUUGCGAGGAAAUCAAUUAUUGAAAAGCGUAAAGAAGAUCUUGAGCGUCAAAUAUUGGAAAAGGAAAAAGUAGAGGAGUCAAAGAGAUUGAGUAUCCAGAAGAAAUCUGCAGACGAAGAAAGGGAGAGGCUUUUGAAGGACCAGAGACUUAGGCAGCAGCAGAGGAUCAGUCGAGAAAUAAAGGAAAAAGAUCGCCUGGAAGCAGAAAAAAUAAUAAAUGAUUUUAAAAAAAUAAUUAAGAACGGGGACAAAAUUCACGUUGAAGGGGAUAUGACAAAACAAUUCGCCAUGGAGGUGGUACGGAGUCAACGGGUGAAGGAGCUUGAAGAGAUGGAGAAAAAACUGCAGAAGCUUGCAAAGAAAAUGGAUCACUUGGAGAGGGCAAAACGGCAGGAGGAAGCACCACUGAUUGAGGAGGCCUUCCAAAAGCGCCUUGAGGAAGAAAAGAUCCUUCAUGAGCAAGAGCAGCUGAGAGAGAUUGAUCUCAGCAAGCAACACCACACGGGUGACUUGCAGGAGAAAACUAGGCUUUCUCGAUUGUUGCAGCAUAAGAAUGCUUUCCAGGAAAGAAUCGUCCAACGCCGUGAAGCUGAGUUUAGUAGCCUAAGGAAAGAGAGGGAAGAAAGGAUUAGUCAGUUGAUAUCUUCAAGAAAGCGUGAAAGGGAGACUGUACGGAAAUUGAUGUAUUAUCUGAACAUGGAGGAACAACGGAUCCAAAGGGUGCGUGAGGAAGAGGAGGCUAGAAAACGUGAAGAGGAAGAGAGGAAGAAGAGGGAGGAAGCGGAGAUGAAACUCAAGCUUGACGCCAUUGCAGCAAUUCAGAGGGAGAAGGAAAGGGAGGUGGAAGAGAAGAAGGAAAAAGAGAGAAGGGAGGCUCUCCUAAGAGCAGCGGACCCACCUGAUGCGCGGCCUGCUGCUGCCAUCGCACCACCAGCCGCUCCUGGUUCUAACAAGUUUGUCCCGCGGCACAGACGUGGCGGCGAGGGUAGCAGCCAGAGGACGGCUGUUGCACCUGAAGCAGCAGACCGUUGGGAUGCUCGCCAAGAGGCUCCUCAUGCACGGGAAGUGCGUCCCCUCCGCCAGGAUGCGCUCCUGCUCCCGGAAGCAGACCGCUGGAGCCGCCGUCCCCUCCGCCAAGAUGCUCCUCCCGCGCGCCAAGAAGCCCCCCCAUCCCGCCAGCCAGAUGGUGCUCCUCCAGCUGGUUCUACUACUGACCGCUGGCGUCCUGGUGGUGGAUCUAGGUCCUCUGCGAAUUCUUCAUCGGCUUCUUCGUCGACCGGCUGGAGGAAGAACUGA
rnacentral:rRNA from 1 species